UGGGGAAUAUUGCACAAUGGGGGAAACCCGUGAUGCAGCGACGCCGCGUGAGUGAAGAAGUAUUUCGGUAUGUAAAGCUCUAUCAGCAGGAAAGAAAAUGACGGUACCUGACUAAGAAGCCCCGGCUAACUACGUGCC
rnacentral:rRNA from 1 species